GACGAACGCUGGCGGCGUGCUUAACACAUGCAAGUCGAACGGAAAGGCCCUGCUUUUGUGGGGUGCUCGAGUGGCGAACGGGUGAGUAACACGUGAGUAACCUGCCCUUGACUUUGGGAUAACUUCAGGAAACUGGGGCUAAUACCGGAUAGGAGCUCCUGCUGCAUGGUGGGGGUUGGAACGUUUCGGCGGUUGGGGAUGGACUCGCGGCUUAUCAGCUUGUUGGUGGGGGAGUGGCUUACCAAGGCUUUGACGGGUAGCCGGCCUGAGAGGGUGACCGGCCACAAUGGGACUGAGAGACGGCCCAGACUCCUACGGGAGGCAGCAGGGGGGAAUAUUGCACAAUGGGCGGAAGCCUGAUGCAGCAACGCCGCGUGCGGGAUGACGGCCUUCGGGUUGUAAACCGCUUUAGCCUGUGACGAAGCGUGAGUGACGGUAAUGGGUAAAGAAGCACCGGCUAACUACGUG
rnacentral:rRNA from 1 species